UGAGCAAUCUGCCCUUCUCAUCGGAAUAAGCGUUGGAAACGACGUCUAAUGCCGUUAAUACGACCUCCUUUCGCAUGAUCGGAGGUGGAAAGCUCCGGCGGAGAAGGAUGAGCUCGCGGCCUAUCAGCUAGUUGGUGUGGGUAAUGGCCCACCAAGGCGAUGACGGGUAGCCGGCCUGAGAGGGUGACCGGCCACACUGGGACUGAGACACGGCCCAGACUCCUAUGGGA
rnacentral:rRNA from 1 species